CAGUUCAUUGAUGUGGGGACGAUGGUCUCACCCACAGUUUUUGCAAGGCGAAGCCUAUGCUAUCUGUUAUGUGAUCAACCAGAUCCUGCUCUACGAGAUGCAAUGCAAGCACAAUGUGUUUAUCCAGACUGGCCCACGACUUUCUACAUUCAGUCAGUUGCUCUUGCAAAGCUGAACAUGCACAAGGAUGCCGCUGACAUGUUUAAACGAGGCAGCUGCAUUGGAAGAGAAGAAGCAACGAGGAGCGAAAGGAUCAUAG